CCUACGGGCGGCUGCAGUGGGGAAUAUUGGACAAUGGGGGGAACCCUGAUCCAGCCAUGCCGCGUGUGUGAAGAAGGCCCUCGGGUUGUAAAGCACUUUCAGUGAGGAAGAACGCCUGGUGGUUAAUACCCAUCAGGAAAGACAUCACUCACAGAAGAAGCACCGGCUAACUCCGUGCCAGCAGCCGCGGUAAUACGGAGGGUGCGAGCGUUAAUCGGAAUUACUGGGCGUAAAGCGCGCGUAGGUGGUUUGAUAAGCCGGUUGUGAAAGCCCCGGGCUCAACCUGGGAACGGCAUCCGGAACUGUCAAGCUAGAGUGCAGGAGAGGAAGGUAGAAUUCCCGGUGUAGCGGUGAAAUGCGUAGAGAUCGGGAGGAAUACCAGUGGCGAAGGCGGCCUUCUGGACUGACACUGACACUGAGGUGCGAAAGCGUGGGUAGCAAACAGGAUUAGAUACCCUAGUAGUC
rnacentral:rRNA from 1 species